GGAGAGGUCGCAUAGUUGGUCGAGUGCGCCCGACUCGAAAUCGGGUAGGCCACAAGCCUCGUGGGUUCGAAUCCCACCCUCUCCG
rnacentral:tRNA from 1 species